rnacentral:lncRNA from 1 species
GGAAGAGAAUCCAAAAUCCCCAAAAUAGGAGAGAAUGAUUCAGCUCAAAUCAGAGUUCAGAGGGCAGAAAAAUCAAUGUCCUUUUUGGAAGAUGAACAACAACGUGGGAUGGAUGGCCAGAGACCUACACCUGGAAGUUGAGGAAAGGGUUUGCAUGCAGCUGAAAGAGAUUGAAACGACGGGGCUAAUGGCUCUGAACCAGUAAAAAACAACAACAGCAACGGGAAAAAGGAAAAAGAAAACAACAGUUUGGGAAGUGCUGUAGUGAAGAAAUGAACAAGCUGCUGCUGAUGAAUGAUGUGACAAUUGACAAUGAAACAUAGCGCGGCGCCUCUAGUCUGUGUACCAGAGAGAGCGUGGGUGGGGAUUUGUGGGGUUUUUCUCUGCCUGCAAUUUGCAUGCUGGCGCCUGUUGCUAGUGCCCUAGUGGCUACACCCCAUUUCUCCACCUCCACAACCACGCCAUUAAGUUUUAUUGUUAUACUUUGGCAAUUUGCCCGCAGAUAGAUGUACGGU